rnacentral:ncRNA from 2 species
UAGCGUUCCCGGCGAGCUGGUCGUACCACGAACGGUGCCAGGGAAUCCGGUGAGACUCCGGAGCUGACGCGCAGCGGUGUGGGUGACGGGCGGAGCACAACGCCACUGGACGAGAGUCCGGGAAGGCGCUCCGUCUGAGUGAUCCCGAGUCCGAAGACCUGCCGGCUCAUGUCAUCGACC